rnacentral:lncRNA from 1 species
CUCACUUCAACUAAUGGUCAAUUGUUACCUACGUCCAAGGCUGUUUUAUAUAGAAGCAUUGUGGGUGGACUUCAAUAUGCAUGUCUUACCCGUCCCGGUAUAGCUUUUGCUGUAAACAAACUCAGUCAGUUCAUGCAUUCUCCAACUGACAAGCACUGGGUGUCAGUAAAACGAGUACUACGAUAUCUUCAAGGAACUAUCGAGUUUGGCCUUUAUUACACUCCAGCGGAUCAGGUUGAUAUUACAGCUUUUUCAGAUUCAGAUUGGGGCAGCUCUCUUGAAGAUAGGAGGUCUACUUCUGGUUUCUGUAUCUACAUAGGUGGCAACCUCAUUGGUUGGUCAUCCAAGAAGCAACAUGUAGUGGCACGCUCCACAUCUGAGGCAGAAUUUCGAAGUGUCGCCAAUACUGUGGCUGACAUCGCUUGGUUCAUCCAUCUUCUGACUGAUCUUGGAGAGAAGUGUUAUGGAAUUCCAACUAUAUGGUGCGAUAAUUCUGGUGCUGUCCAGAUAUCAGCAAAUCCUGUUCUUCAUUCCAAGAUGAAACAUGUUGAACUUGAUCUUCAUUCUGUUCUUCAUUCCAAGAUGAAACAUGUUGAACUUGAUCUUCAUUUUGUCCGGGAAAAAGUAGUAAAGGGUGAUCUUCAAAUCAAUCAUAUUGCUGCACACAAUCAAGUUGCGGAUCUAUUCACUAAACCUUUAAGUGAAUCUCAAUUUGUUGCGCUGCGAUCAAAGCUUGGAUUAUGUCAACUCUGCUCAGUAUCCACGGCUUUUGUUUUCUCGGAAGAGGAGAAAACAGGGGGAAUAUCAGGCAGUAAGAAUGAUAUGUAGGUGUUCGAUAAUAUGUUUGAGAUAAGCACAAUAUAGCUUUCUCGCAAGGUGCUUGUGCUGGUUUAGUAUUUCUGUUAAAUGCUUGAUACUGGCUUAUGAUUUUAGUCCGUUAUUUUUGGUACAGCUGUAACUUGUUUGUUAAUUUUUGCUAACAAAUUAUCUAGAACAC